rnacentral:rRNA from 1 species
AUUGAACGCUGGCGGCAUGCCUUACACAUGCAAGUCGAACGGUAACGGGCCUUCGGGUGCCGACGAGUGGCGCACGGGUGAGUAAUACAUCGGAACGUGCCCGAUCGUGGGGGAUAACGAGGCGAAAGCUUUGCUAAUACCGCAUACGAUCUACGGAUGAAAGCAGGGGACCGCAAGGCCUUGCGCGGACGGAGCGGCCGAUGGCAGAUUAGGUAGUUGGUGGGAUAAAAGCUUACCAAGCCGACGAUCUGUAGCGGGUCUGAGAGGAUGAUCAGCCACACUGGGACUGAGACACGGCCCAGACUCCUACGGGAGGCAGCAGUGGGGAAUGUUGGACAAUGGGCGCAAGCCUGAUCCAGCCAUGCCGCGUGCAGGAUGAAGGCCUUCGGGUUGUAAACUGCUUUUGUACGGAACGAAAAGCCUUCUUUUAAUACAGGAGGGUCAUGACGGUACCGUAAGAAUAAGCACCGGCUAACUACGUG